UGUAUACGCUACAGCUGUGCUCACUUCUUUAAGUUGCUGUAAUUGUCCUUGAAGCAACACAGAGCUCUGCUUCUCAGACCAGCAGUACUCUGUAGGGAUGUUCCUCCGUGGAGAAUGCAAGGUGAGCCAAAGGAGUGAAGCAACAAAAAUAAUCAUUUCCCAACUGAAAGGCACUGCUUCCCUUGCCCAUUAAGCUCUGCAUUACCAGGAAUAACCUUGCCAGGACACAGCCAGAAAGCAACAUCAAUCGUGUGCCACCAACCUGUGCUGGAGAUCUGCCAUCCUCCCUCUGCGGACAGGUCUCAUCGGCUGCUUCUCAGCAGCUGGUGCUGCAAGCAAAACCCUGCCAACAGGUGUUUCCAAAGAGAAGCCUUGACAGCACAGCAAACUGCUGUAUGAGGUGAUCCACCACUGCAUCUUGUAACACAUGGCAUGUAAUGUGUUGAGACCUUUAAGAUUAACUGUGGAAGCAAUGGACUUGUUAGAAACUGCCAGCGUAAAACAAGUAUUUUUCCACUGCAUUUUUCUCUAUUACUACUUUGGUGACCCCUCUUAUAGUAUAAGCUACACAAUAAUACUAAUUUGCAGUGAGUAACUAUACAGCACAAGUAGCCCCUCACAGUUGUCAUGCCUGAGGCUAAAAAAAAAAGAACCUAAGUAGAUGUUUGUGUGAUACUGGGCCUCCUCCAGUCUGGUACAUUAAUCUUCAAUCAGGAAUGAAGGUGCCUUAUUAGCCUAAAUUAUUAAAGUAGUACGUUAGUGAUUAAGAAUGUUGUUGUAGUGAUUGAAGCCAUUAAUUUCUUAAUGCUCACCACUUCUUUCAUUAGAAGCUGCUAAACAGCAAUGAGAGGCCAGCGCUCUCUCAAUUUAUCUACUCUUACUUUGGGUCUGAUCAGAUCUGAUUUUGGCCAGCCAGCCUCUGCAAGCUCCAGCCAAGGCACGCCAACACGAUGAAACUGCUCUUCCCCUGCUGACCAAACUACUUCCACACCAUCAUCCUGCAGAGACAAAGAGUGAACACACGUGUGUGUAACUGCACCGACUCCUGACAGCCACACCUGCUCACGCACUGCAUUUACUAGCACAUUGAAGUGCUGCCAUGGGAAUUAAACAGUACCGCUGGGCACACUCAUGCUUUCAUUGCAUUUUAUUUAACAACAUGUUAUUUUUCACUCGUAUUCAAGUGCAGAAGCUCCAAUGUGUUCCAAAUUUGCCCAGCACAGAGGGAACACAGGGGAAAAAAAAUGUCCUUCCAAAGGCAAAUUAAGAGUUUGUACUUUUUCAAGGCAAUUAAAUAAACCAAAUGAAGGAUCAUUCCUUUUUUUCAAACAAGAGGUAGGGAGGCACAGGGGAAACAAAAUACUGGCAAAUCUCAUUGCAGCAAUUGUUUUAAAUCCAUCUCAAGAGAGAUGAAGAGAUUGUUGUAAUCCACACAGUGGAGGUUUCAGUCUGGCAAAGUCAAAGCUUCCUCAAGUUGAAGGUGGC